rnacentral:misc_RNA from 1 species
ACUUUUGUCAUAUAAAUAACCUCUGUGGUCCUCAUGUUGCAACACAAAAUUUUGAAUGAAUAAAUAAAAUACACUAGAACAUUAAGGGUACUUAUAAGUUACAACAUUGCAUCCAUCUCACUGGGGCAAAAUAUGAAAUUUGUAUACAUCAAGCAGAGUUUCUAUCUGGGGAUAAAACCUAGAACAGGGAGCAAAUUUUGAUUUGGUGUCUCUUGUUUGAUCUUAAGAGCUUUUACAUGGCUACAUUCUGCACAAAAUAAACUAAACUUCACAUGGACAAACAACAAGCACACACCCAAGUUUGGAUGAAAAACAUGACAGUUUACACAGCUACAGGAUAUCUUCAACUCAUUUUGCAUGGUUGAUAACAUCACAUGGAUGACCUUCACGCUAUUAUUUGCUUUGCAUGCAAAACUUGAGAGUUCCUUCCUAGCAAUUGAUACCACAAGCCUGAACAUCUGGUCCAGUAACUCUUGUUGUGAAGGGAUCAAUACGCACCCAUAACAAAGAGAAAAUGGAGGCCAGAAGAAUAGACCACACGACCACGAUAGUAGGUGUCCGGUUCUGACGACCCAUGAGACCUUUGAGGAAGGGGUAAAGGUGAACGAUCACCCAGAAAGCAAAGAAUAAUUUACCAAAGAGGGGACCCCAUGAUUGGUAACCACUGUUGACGGCAUAUGAGAUGCCGGCCACAACUCCUACCAGGUUUACAAUGAGGAGAGUAGUGGGGGGUAUAAGAAGAGUAGUCCAUUUGAACAUGUAGAGUUCCGCAAAGUCCCCAUCUUCAUCAGAUGCCUUGGAUGUGACAGUAAAGUUGGUAUCAAUACCAGCAAGCACUUUGAGCAACCCUUGGAAGACGGCAAACAGGUGAGCUGACACACCACCAAUGACCCAAAACUGUUCAUUUCUCCACCAGUCUUCAAUACUCACACCACUCCACCUAAGCUCCAAUAUACCAGUUGCGAAAAUGGAAAGAAAGAGUAGAAUGAACCACAUGCCAGCAUAGUUGCUUAUCUCAGGAAUGAUAAAUUUGCCGGUCAGAAGACAGAUGGCAGGAAGCGUACAGUAAGCAAGCAAGGGUAAAGAUGUGAGAGGAUAGACGAUUGUAUUAAUAUAUGCUAAUCUCUCCAGAAGCAUCAAUCUGCCACUGUAGCCAUACCAUAUUGGGCAAUGCCUACUCAACAGGAUUUCAACAGAACCCAAAGCCCACCGGAGCACCUGGUUUAAACGAUCAGAAAGAUUGAUAGGAGCAGACCCUUUAAACGCUGGUCGAGGAGGCAUGCAAUAGAGGGAAUACCAUCCUCGUGCAUGCAUCUUAAACCCAGUCAAAAUAUCUUCAGUGACAGACCCAUAUAUCCACCCAAUCUCUUUUCCCCAUUCAGUC